CAAAUCAAAGAAAAAUACACUAAUAUCAAGAGGAUUUUACCUACUUUUAGUUCCCUUUUUGCAGUGUGGAUUUGUAAGGUAUGGGGUGAUGGAUGUCUAACCCUGGAGUGUGGAGUGGAGCACCGAGGAGAAGGUUUCUGAGGGUGGACGGGUUGGACGUUGGUUCCUGAACAGGCUUAGCUCACAGAGUCUGAUGUAAAAUGAAGAUAAUGUUGAUAAUGAGAACCUGGGGUGACCGCGGCCGGGUCGGUCGGUUGUUUCUGACUGAAGUGGGACAUUAAAGAAAGGAAUGCCAGAGCCUGUUGACGCUGGGGUUUGAAUCGCGUCCACAUGUGGAAGACGACCGGACCCGGACCCGUGUUCAGCCUGGACCGGGUCUCCGCUUUGAGGACGGACGCGUUAAAAGAUGGAAAUCAGAGCGAAGGGAGACGGACGCUGAGCGAAGCACAUCUACUGGAGCUCCUAACGAGCGUUUAAGCCCAGAAAUGACGUGGCGGAGCCAGACGUCUGUGGUUUGGACCCGCUGCUCCAGAACCACAACAUAA